GGUGGCGAAGGCGGCUUUAGUGGCAGCAUGAAGCGCACCCCGACUGCCGAGGAACGAGAGCGCGAAGCUAAGAAACUGAGGCUUCUUGAAGAGCUCGAAGACACUUGGCUUCCUUAUCUGACCCCCAAAGAUGAUGAAUUCUAUCAGCAGUGGCAGCUGAAAUAUCCUAAACUAAUUCUCCGAGAAGCCAGCAGUGUAUCUGAGGAGCUCCAUAAAGAGGUUCAAGAAGCCUUUCUCACACUGCACAAGCAUGGCUGCUUAUUUCGGGACCUGGUUAGGAUCCAAGGCAAAGAUCUGCUCACUCCGGUAUCUCGCAUCCUCAUUGGUAAUCCAGGCUGCACCUACAAGUACCUGAACACCAGGCUCUUUACGGUCCCCUGGCCAGUGAAAGGGUCUAAUAUAAAACACACCGAGGCUGAAAUAGCCGCUGCUUGUGAGACCUUCCUCAAGCUCAAUGACUACCUGCAGAUAGAAACCAUCCAGGCUUUGGAAGAACUUGCUGCCAAAGAGAAGGCUAAUGAGGAUGCUGUGCCACUGUGUAUGUCUGCAGAUUUCCCCAGGGUUGGGAUGGGGUCAUCCUACAACGGACAAGAUGAAGUGGACAUUAAGAGCAGAGCAGCAUACAACGUAACUUUGCUGAAUUUCAUGGAUCCUCAGAAAAUGCCAUACCUGAAAGAGGAACCUUAUUUUGGCAUGGGGAAAAUGGCAGUGAGCUGGCAUCAUGAUGAAAAUCUGGUGGACAGGUCAGCGGUGGCAGUGUACAGUUAUAGCUGUGAAGGCCCUGAAGAGGAAAGUGAGGAUGACUCUCAUCUCGAAGGCAGAGAUCCUGAUAUUUGGCAUGUUGGUUUUAAGAUCUCAUGGGACAUAGAGACACCUGGUUUGGCGAUACCCCUUCACCAAGGAGACUGCUAUUUCAUGCUUGAUGAUCUCAAUGCCACCCACCAACACUGUGUUUUGGCCGGUUCACAACCUCGGUUUAGUUCCACCCACCGAGUGGCAGAGUGCUCAACAGGAACCUUGGAUUAUAUUUUACAACGCUGUCAGUUGGCUCUGCAGAAUGUCUGUGACGAUGUGGACAAUGAUGAUGUCUCUUUGAAAUCCUUUGAGCCUGCAGUUUUGAAGCAAGGAGAAGAAAUUCAUAAUGAGGUCGAGUUUGAGUGGCUGAGGCAGUUUUGGUUUCAAGGCAAUCGAUACAGAAAGUGCACUGACUGGUGGUGUCAACCCAUGGCUCAACUGGAAGCACUGUGGAAGAAGAUGGAGGGUGUGACAAAUGCUGUGCUUCAUGAAGUUAAAGGAGAGGGGCUCCCCAUGGAACAAAGGAAUGAAAUCUUGACUGCCAUCCUUGCCUCGCUCACUGCACGCCAGAACCUGAGGAGAGAAUGGCAUGCCAGAUGGAGUUUCAUUCUCAUUGCCCAGGCUGGAGUGCAAUGGCACAAUCUUGGCUCACUGCAACCUCCACCUCCCGGGUUCAAGCGAUUCUCCUGCCUCAGCCUCCCAGAGCAACGACAUAGGGCAGUGGAAAAAGAAUGAGUUUUGGAGUCAAAACCCCUGUUAUCUUGGAAAAGCCAUUUAACUUCCUUGACCUUCAGUUUCAUCUUGUGUAAAGUCAGAAUAAUAAUGCCAGCCUUAUAGAGUA
rnacentral:sRNA from 1 species